rnacentral:rRNA from 1 species
CUACGGGUCGCAGCAGCGGAACUUUUACAAUGCACGAAAGUGUGAUAAAGCGAGCCAAAGUGUUUUUCGUUUAGAAAAACUUUUUCUUAGUGUAAAAACCUAGGAGAAUAAGGACUGGGAAAGACCGGUGCCAGCCGCCGCGGUAAUACCGGCAGUUCAAGUUGCAUCCAUUUUUAUUGGGUCUAAAACAUCCGUAGCUUGCCAUUUAAGUUUCUUGUGAAAUCUCACGUCUCAAGCGUGAUGAAGUGCAGGAAAUACUGGGUGGCUAGAGAUCGGUAGACGUAAGGAGUACGCCGGAGGUAGUGGUAAAAUACGUUAAUCUUCGGUGGACUAACAAUCAGCGAAGGCACCUUACGAGGACGAAUCUGACAGUGAGGGAUGAAGGCCAGGGGCGCAAAACGGAUUAGAUACCCUGGUAGUC